GCGUGAAUGAAGAAGGCCUUAGGGUUGUAAAGUUCUUUCACCUGUGACGAUAAUGACGGUAACAGGAGAAGAAGCCCCGGCUAACUCCGUGCCAGCAGCCGCGGUAAGACGGAGGGGGCUAGCGUUGUUCGGAAUGACUGGGCGUAAAGGGCGUGUAGGCGGUUGAUCAAGUCAGACGUGAAAGCCUUGGGCUUAACCCAAGAACUGCGUUUGAGACUGGUUGACUUGAGGACGAGAGAGGAAAGUAGAAUUCCGAGUGUAGAGGUGAAAUUCGC
rnacentral:rRNA from 1 species